rnacentral:rRNA from 1 species
AUUGAACGCUGGCGGCAGGCCUAACACAUGCAAGUCGAACGACUGGCGGACGGGUGAGGCCUGUCUGGGAAACUGCCAGAUGGAGAGGGAUAACUACUGGAAACGCUAGCUACUACUGCAUACCAUUGGAUCUGCGCCGAUUGGAUUAGCUAGUAGGUGGGGUAACGGCUCACCCAGGCGACGAUCCCUAGCUGGUCUGAGAGGAUGAGCAGCAACACUGGAACUGAGACACGGUCCAGACUCCUACGGGAGGCAGCAGUGGGGAAUAUUGCACAAUGGGCGAAAGCCUGAUGCAGCCAUGCCGCGUGUAUGAAGAAGGCCUUCGGAUUGUAAAGUACUUUCAGUGGGGAGGCGUUACUAGCAGAAGAAGCACCGGCUAACUCCGUGCCAGCAGCCGCGGUAAUAC